ACGGGUGAGUAAUGCCUAGGAAAUUGCCUUGAUGUGGGGGAUAACCAUUGGAAACGAUGGCUAAUACCGCAUAAUGCCUACGGGCCAAAGAGGGGGACCUUCGGGCCUCUCGCGUCAAGAUAUGCCUAGGUGGGAUUAGCUAGUUGGUGAGGUAAUGGCUCACCAAGGCGACGAUCCCUAGCUGGUCUGAGAGGAUGAUCAGC
rnacentral:rRNA from 1 species